AUGUUUGCGCUUGGGGCAAUGACGCAGCUAAUGAGGUACUAACCGAGGCGCGUCUAUUGCAAGGGCUCCCUUCGGGGUAAAGCCCUACAAUUCUAAGUUCAAUAUUUAUUUCUGGCAUCUUAAUUUUAGA
rnacentral:snRNA from 1 species